UACGUAGGGUGCAAGCGUUGUCCGGAGUUACUGGGCGUAAAGGGUGCGUAGGCGGUCCUAUAAGUAUGGUGUGAAAUCUCCCGGCUUAACUGGGAGGGUGCGCUAUAGACUGUGGGACUAGAGUGUGGGAGAGGAAAGUGGAAUUCCUGGUGUAGCGGUGGAAUGCGUAGAGAUCCGGAAGAACACCGGUGGCGAAGGCGGUCUGCUGGGGUCGAACUGACGCUGAGGCGCGACAGCGUGGGGAGCAAACAGG
rnacentral:rRNA from 1 species